rnacentral:rRNA from 1 species
CCCCCCYUYGGKKAUUCCCUUWKUACGGCGAGUGAAGCGGCAAAAGCUCAAAUUUGAAAUCUGGUACCUUUGGUGCCCGAGUUGUAAUUUGGAGAGUACCACUUUGGGACUGUACUUUGCCUAUGUUCCUUGGAACAGGACGUCAUGGAGGGUGAGAAUCCCGUGUGGCGAGGGUGUCAGUUCUUUGUAAAGGGUGCUCKAAGAGUCGAGUUGUUUGGGAAUGCAGCUCUAAGUGGGUGGUAAAUUCCAUCUAAAGCUAAAUACAGGCGAGAGACCGAUAGCGAACAAGUACAGUGAUGGAAAGAUGAAAAGAACUUUGAAAAGAGAGUGAAAAAGUACGUGAAAUUGUUGAAAGGGAAGGGCAUUUGAUCAGACAUGGUGUUUUGCGCCCCUUGCCUCUCGUGGGCUUGGGACUCUCGCAGCUCACUGGGCCAGCAUCGGUUUUGGCGGCCGGAAAAAACCUAGGGAAUGUGGCUCUGCGCCUCGGUGUARAGUGUUAUAGCCCUGGGGAAUACGGCCAGCCGGGACCGAGGACUGCGAUACUUGUUAUCUAGGAUGCUGGCAUAAUGGUUAUAUGCCGCCCGUCUUGAAACACRGAYCA